CCUCGGGAGGCAGCAGGUAAGGAAUAUUGUGGACAAUGGGGGCAACCCCGGAUCCAGCCAUCCCGCGGUGCAGGAAGAAUGCCCUAUGGGUUGUAAACUGCUUUUAUCAGGGAAGAAUAGCCGGUGAUUUAUCAUGGUAUGACGGUACCUGAGGAAUAAGCACCGGCUAACUCCGUGCCAGCAGCCGCGGUAAUACGGAGGGUGCAAGCGUUGUCCGGAAUUACUGGGUUUAAAGGGUGCGUAGGCGGAAGUAUAGGUCAGAGGUGAAAUCACACAGCUUANCUGGGUAAUUGCCUUUGAUACUGUAUUUCUUGAAUCAGAUUGAGGUUAGCGGAAUGAGUCAUGUAGCGGUGAGAUGCAUANAUAUGACUUAUAACACCAAUUGCGAAGGUAGCUAGCUAGGUCUGUAUUGACGCUGAGGCACGAAAGNGNGUGNAGCGAUCAGGAUUAGAUACCCUGUAGUCCACGCCCUAAACGAUGCUAACUCA
rnacentral:rRNA from 1 species